rnacentral:rRNA from 1 species
GACGAACGCUGGCGGCGUGCUUAACACAUGCAAGUCGAACGGAAAGGCCCUGCUUGCUUGGUACUCGAGUGGCGAACGGGUGGGUAACACGUGGGUGAUCUGCCCUGCACUUUGUGAUAAGCCUUGGAAACUGGGUCUAAUACCGGAUAGGAGCCAUUUUUAGCGUGAUGGUUGGAAAGUUUUUUCGGUGUAGGACGAGCUCGCGGCCUAUCAGCUUGUUGGUGGGGUAAUGGCCUACCAAGGCGGCGACGGGUAGCCGGACUGCGAGGGUGGACGGCCACAUUGGGACUGAGAGACGGCACAGAUGCGUAAGGGAGGCAGCAGUGGGGAAUAUUGCACAAGGGGCGCAAGCCUGAUGCAGCGACGCCGCGUGGGGGAUGACGGCCUUCGGGUUGUAAACACCUUUCGCUAGGGACGAAGCUUUUUGUGACGGUACCUAGAGAAGAAGCACCGGCUAACUACGUG